AUUGAACGCUGGCGGCAGGCCUAACACAUGCAAGUCGAGCGCGAAAGUCUUCGGAUGAGUAAAGCGGCGAACGGGUGAGUAACGCGUGGGAAUCUGCCCAGUAGUGGGGGACAACAGCCGGAAACGGCUGCUAAUACCGCAUACGCCCUACGGGGGAAAGGGGGGGAUCUUCGGACCUCUCGCUAUUGGAUGAGCCCGCGUCGGAUUAGCUAGUUGGUGAGGUAAAGGCUCACCAAGGCGACGAUCCGUAACUGGUCUGAGAGGAUGAUCAGUCACACUGGAACUGAGACACGGUCCAGACUCCUACGGGAGGCAGCAGUGGGGAAUAUUGGACAAUGGGGGCAACCCUGAUCCAGCCAUGCCGCGUGUGUGAAGAAGGCCCUAGGGUUGUAAAGCACUUUCAGUGGGGAGAAAAGUGAUUCACCUAAUACGUGAGUCAAUUGAUGUUACCCACAGAAGAAGCACCGGCUAACUCCGUGCCAGCCGCCGCGGUAA
rnacentral:rRNA from 1 species